UACGUAGGGUGCGAGCGUUAAUCGGAAUUACUGGGCGUAAAGCGUGCGCAGGCGGUUUUCCAAGACAGAUGUGAAAUCCCCGGGCUCAACCUGGGAAUUGCAUUUGAGACUGCACGGCUAGAGUGUGUCAGAGGGGGGUAGAAUUCCACGUGUAGCAGUGAAAUGCGUAGAGAUGUGGAGGAAUACCGAUGGCGAAGGCAGCCCCCUGGGAUAACACUGACGCUCAUGCACGAAAGCGUGGGGAGCAAACAGG
rnacentral:rRNA from 1 species